rnacentral:rRNA from 1 species
UACGGAGGGGGCUAGCGUUAUUCGGAAUUAUUGGGCGUAAAGAGCUCGUAGGCGGUUUGUCGCGUCUGCCGUGAAAGUCCGGGGCUCAACUCCGGAUCUGCGGUGGGGUACGGGCAGACUAGAGUGAUGUAGGGGGAGACUGGAAUUCCAGGUGUAGCGGUGAAAUGCGUAGAUAUCUGGAGGAAUACCGGUGGCGAAGGCGGCAUCCUGGACCGGUAUUGACGCUGAGGCGCGAAAAGCUAGGGGAGCAAACGGGG